AACCUCCGCAAUGUGAGAAAUCGCGACGGGGGGAUCCCAAGUGCCAUUCUUAACGGGAUGGCUUUUCAUUAGUGUAAAGAGCUUUUGGAAUAAGAGCUGGGCAAGACCGGUGCCAGCCGCCGCGGUAACACCGGCAGCUCUAGUGGUAACAAUUUUUAUUGGGCCUAAAGCGUCCGUAGCCGGUUUAAUACGUCUCUGGUGAAAUCCUGUAGCUUAACUGUGGGAAUUGCUGGAGAUACUAUUAGACUUGAGACCGGGAGAGGUUAGAGGUACUCCCAGGGUAGAGGUGAAACUCUGUAAUCCUGGGAGGACCGCCUGUUGCGAAGGCGUCUAACUGGAACGGUUCUGACGGUGAGGGACGAAAGUUAGGGGCGCGAACCGGAUUAGAUACCCGGGUAGUCCUAACUGUAAACGAUGCGGACUUGGUGUUGGGGUGGCUUUGAGCUGCUCCAGUGCCGAAGGGAAGCUGUUAAGUCCGCCGCCUGGGAAGUACGGUCGCAAGACUGAAACUUAAAGGAAUG
rnacentral:rRNA from 1 species